rnacentral:rRNA from 1 species
UACGGAGGAUCCAAGCGUUAUCCGGAUUUAUUGGGUUUAAAGGGUGCGUAGGCGGCUUAUUAAGUCAGGGGUGAAAGACGGUGGCUCAACCAUCGCAGUGCCCUUGAUACUGAUGAGCUUGAAUACACUUGAGGUAGGCGGAAUGUGACAAGUAGCGGUGAAAUGCAUAGAAAUGUCACAGAACACCAAUUGCGAAGGCAGCUUACUAAGGUGCAAUUGACGCUGAGGCACGAAAGCGUGGGGAUCAAACAGG